GAGCGGUGAUGAAAUUUGUGCUUAAAUGUAGUGACGGGAUCACUGCUAUCGUUUACUUAGGUUGCGAAAAUUGGCACAUUUGAGCUC